GUGCUCACUUUGGCAGCACAUAUGAUAAAAUUGGAAUGAUACAGAGAAGAUUAGCAUGACCCUGAACAAGGAUGAGAUGCAAAUUUGUGAAGCAUGCUAUAUUAAG